AAAGGAAUAGACGGGACCCCGCACAAGCGGUGGAUUAUGUUGUUUAAUUCGACGCAACGCGAAGAACCUUACCAGGCCUUGACAUACCGGACGAAGCUAUAGAGAUAUAGAUUAGGUUGAUGGAUACAGGUGGUGCAUGGUUGUCGUCAGCUCGUGUCGUGAGAUGUUGGGUUAAGUCCCGCAACGAGCGCAACCCUUGUCUUUAGUUACCAUCAUUCAGUUGGGGACUCUAGAGAGACUGCCGGUGAUAAACCGGAGGAAGGUGGGGAUGACGUCAAAUCAUCAUGCCCCUUAUGGCCUGGGCUACAAACGUAAUACAAUGGCGUAUACAAAGGGAUGCGAAAGGGCGACCUGGAGCGAAUCUCAUAAAGUACGUCUCAGUUCAGAUUGGAGUCUGCAACUCGACUCCAUGAAGGCGGAAUCGCUAGUAAUCGCAGAUCAGCAUGCUGCGGUGAAUACGUUCUCGGGGUUUGUACACACCGCCCGU
rnacentral:rRNA from 1 species